rnacentral:tRNA from 1 species
CCGACCUUAGCUCAGUUGGUAGAGCGGAGGACUGUAGUGGGCAAGGGCUAACAGCGCUAAUCCUUAGGUCGCUGGUUCGAAUCCGGCAGGUCGGA